CCUACGGGAGGCUGCAGUGAGGAAUAUUGCACAAUGGACGCAAGUCUGAUGCAGCAACGCCGCGUGGAGGAUGAAGGCCCUUGGGUCGUAAACUCCUUUUUUCAGGGAAGAGAAUGGACGGUACCUGAAGAAUAAGUCACGGCUAACUACGUGCCAGCAGCCGCGGUAAUACGUAGGUGGCAAGCGUUAUCCGGAAUUACUGGGCGUAAAGCGCACGCAGGCGGUCUUUCAAGUUCGACGUGAAAGCUCCCGGCUUAACUGGGAGAGGUCGUUGAAGACUGAGAGGCUUGAGGCAAUGAGAGGGGUGUAGAAUUCCCGGUGUAGUGGUGGAAUGCGUAGAUAUCGGGGGGAAUACCAGUGGCGAAAGCGGCACCCUAGCAUUAGCCUGACGCUCAUGUGCGAAAGCGUGGGGAGCGAACGGGAUUAGAUACCCUUGUAGU
rnacentral:rRNA from 1 species